CCGACGGUGAGUAACACGUAUCCAACCUGCCGUCUACUCUUGGACAGCCUUCUGAAAGGAAGAUUAAUACAAGAUGGCAUCAUGAGUUCACAUGUUCACAUGAUUAAAGGUAUUCCGGUAGACGAUGGGGAUGCGUUCCAUUAGAUAGUAGGCGGGGUAACGGCCCACCUAGUCUUCGAUGGAUAGGGGUUCUGAGAGGAAGGUCCCCCACAUUGGAACUGAGACACGGUCCAA
rnacentral:rRNA from 1 species